rnacentral:lncRNA from 10 species
CGAGGCCCGAGCCGCCGCUUGGGUCACAGUGAAAGCCACCGUUGCCCGGGGAUGGGUCCCUGACACUUGGGGAAGUAGGAGCCCUGUGUGAUCGUGCGUCUGAGUCUGGGCUGAGACCAGUCCUGGCCAGGGCAGUUACCAGGACGGUCUCCGGAGGCCGGGAUUCGCGGAGGGUCCAGCAGCAGGAAGAAACCCCAGGAGGAAGAAACCUCAGACAGAUCGCCGGCGAGGCAGCGCGGGAUCCCAGCCUCUGGCGUGCGCGGACGGUGUGCGGGUACGGCUUGAAGGAAACUUCUGGAGGGUGGGGUGGUGUUGAAGAGAAGGCACAAUUGUCACCAUUUUGUUCAACAUGGGCGUUUUCUUUGUGCAUUGAUUUGCAUUUUUAAAGGAACUCCUCCUCAAAACAGAAGAAGCCUAUAGGAUUUUAACCUGGAAACUACUCAGGGAAUCUGGAAUAUUCCUUCCAGGGAUAUCUGCAGCUGAAACCUGGCAGUAAUUUAAACAAAACCAGACAACUCUUGGGGUAUGGUUGGAGCCUGAGGUCUACAGAUGGGUCAUUUUAUAUGCUGAGGUCUGAACAAGAUGAUUUUAACCCCUUAAAAUGAUGGAAACAAAAUAAAAC